rnacentral:lncRNA from 1 species
ACUGGUCACGGGAGGGAAUGAAAAAUGCCAGCGGCCUGCCGGGAGUUGCAGUGAACCCAGCCACCCGCUCGCGUAGUCUUUUGCGCAGGCGCUGUCCCUGUUGCGCAUGCUCAGUCUUCUUCGCGCGGAGGGAGUAGGGCGGGGAGGAGCUCGCCAGCCCGAGGCGAAACGGCUUCUGGGAUAGUAGUCUUCAUCCACUAAACUGAGAGGCGCGGAGCGAGCUUAUUCCCCGCUCCCGGGCCAAGCCCAGCUGCGGGUCCCGCCCGCCGCGCUCCUCCCUCCUAGGAAGAGCAUGAGACCUCACCUAUGAACUUGCCCUCCCACGUAUUGUCAAGAGCCGUGGAGGACUGGUGCUGUGGUAGAGAUGACGUGGCGGGCGGGCCGCUGGAAAGAGAUGACGCGAAAACGGGCCUUAGAGAGGGUGCGGAGGGAGCACCUGGCCUGAAGGAGUCGGGGCUGAGAGCUGGGGGUUUCAGUCCCAGUGCUGCGAAGGCUUUCGAGCUUUGGAACAGAAUCACUGACCGGAGACUGGCCUACUCAGCCCAGCCUGGGAGGCCGGGCAGUGCCCAAGGGAGACGGACGAUAGGGAGGGAGCGCCUGGAUGGAGGGUCUCAAGCGGAGUGAGGAGGCCCCGGGCCCUGUGGGGAAGUGGGUGGGGGAAGGUAUACGGCCAGGUGAGCACCCAGGGACGCCCACAGUAUCUGGAAGGAGACCACGGAAUGGAGAGCACCUGUUGCCUCUGGAGAGGGGACCUAUAGAGCAGGAAUUGUUAAAUCAUAUGGCUGUAUCACCUACUUUUAGAAAUAAAUAAUAGGCUACUCGGGAGGCUGAGGCUGGAGGUUCAAUCGCUUGACCUGGGAGGCGGAGAUUGCGGUGAGCCUAGAUCUUGCCACUGCUCUCCAGCCUGAGCGACAGAGCGAGACUCCGUCUCAAAAUAAUAAUAGUAACAAUAGAAAUAACAGAGAAUGGCCUGGAGAUAGUGAGUGCAAAAGUGCGAGCUGGGAGAUCAGUGAGCCUUUUGUAGUCUUCCAGGAGACAGGUGAUUGUGGCUUGGAGCAGAGGGAAGUAAAAAGUGAGCAAAGAAAUAUUUUGCCCACUUUGAGAAAUAUUUGAGGAAUAUUUUGGAGACAAAAGUAUCAGAACUUGGAAUGGAUGGAUGUAAGGGCAUGAGGACGUCGAAUAUGAUUUCCAAGCUUCUGGCUUGUGCAGGUGGGUGGCUGUGGGGCUGUUUACUGAUAAGGGAAAACAAGGGAAGAGCAAAGGUUCAGGUCCGUGUUAAGCUCGAGGUCAAGGCCUUUGACUCGUUCUGGAUGAAAUGUGGAGACCACGAUGCCGGGUGCGGUGGUUCACGCUUGUAAUCCCAUCACUUUGGGAGGCCGAGGCGGGCGGAUCGCUUAAGCCCGGGAGUUCAAGACCAGCCUAGCCCACAUGGCCAAACCCCGUCCCUACAAAAAAUAUAAAAAUUAGCAGGACAUGGUGGCUCAUGUACGCCUGUAGUCCCAGCUACUCAGGAGGCUGAGGCGGGAGGAACCUUGAGCCCGGGAGGCAGAGGUUGCAGUGAGCCGUGAUUGUGCCAUUGUACUCCAGCCUGGGCGACAAAAGUGAAACCAUGUGUUAAAAAAAAAAAAAAGAAAAGAAAAAGAAAAAUUAUGGAGACCGUGGGAUGUGGGUGGGAUCUGGGAUUCUAAGACAGGCUUCACCCACAAGGUAGAGCCCAGGUCCCUUUGUUGUGAGACCUCAAACCCUUUCAAGACUUAGUCAAGGGCCUAGCUUCAUUCCAGUUGGAGUUAGAGCAGAAGAAAAUGAAAUUACAUGAAUGUUCAUAGCAGUACCAUUUCACAGUAGCCAAAAGAGAAGCAAUCCAUGCAGUGAUGGAUGGAUGCAUGAAUAAAGAUGAUGUGUGUACAUACAAUGGAAUAUUAUUCAGCCUUAAAAAGGAAUGAAAUUCUGUUACAUGCUGCAACAUGAAUGAACCCUGAAGACAUUAUGCUAAGUGAAAUAAGCCAGUUGCAAAAGGACAAAUACUGUAUUCUGCUUAUCUGAGAUACCUAGUUAGUCAGAGUUAUGGAGACAGAAAGUAGAAUGGUGUCUGUUGGGCUAGGGGAGGGGAGAAUGGAGAGUUACUGUUUAAUGGCUGUAUAACAAUCUGAACAAUUUAAUGCCACUGAACUGUAUGCUUGAAAUUGUAAACUUUGUGGCUGGGCACGGUAGCUCACACCUGUAAUUCCAGCACUUUGGGAGGCCAAGGCGAGUGGAUCGCCUGAUUUGGGAGUUCAA